AAAGGAAUAGACGGGGGCCCGCACAAGCGGUGGAGCAUGUGGAUUAAUUCGACGCAACGCGAAGAACCUUACCAAGGCUUGACAUCCCCCUGCAAAGUUUAGAAAUAAGCUCCUCCUUCGGGACAGGGGAGACAGGUGGUGCAUGGUUGUCGUCAGCUCGUGUCGUGAGAUGUUGGGUUAAGUCCCGCAACGAGCGCAACCCCUAUUUUUAGUAGCCAACGGAUAACGCCGGGCCACACUAGAGAUACUGCCGCUGUAAGGCGGAGGAAGGCGGGGAUGAGGUCAAAUCAUCAUGCCCCUUAUGUCUUGGGCAUCACACGUGCUACAAUGGCCCGAACAAAGUGAAGCAAGGCAGCAAUGCGGAGCAAAACACAAAAACGGGUCUCAGUUCGGAUUGCAGGCUGCAACCCGCCUGCAUGAAGUUGGAAUCGCUAGUAAUCGCGAAUCAGCAUGUCGCGGUGAAUACGUUCCCGGGCCUUGUACACACCGCCCGU
rnacentral:rRNA from 1 species